rnacentral:rRNA from 1 species
ACCUACGGGACGCAGCAGUGGGGAAUAUUGCGCAAUGGGGGAAACCCUGACGCAGCAACGCCGCGUGAGUGAAGAAGGCCUUCGGUAUGUAAAGCUCUAUCAGCAGGGAAGAAGAAAGACGGUACCUGACUAAGAAGCCCCGGCUAACUACGUGCCAGCAGCCGCGGUAAUACGUAGGGGGCAAGCGUUAUCCGGAUUUACUGGGUGUAAAGGGAGCGUAGACGGCUGUGCAAGUCUGAAGUGAAAGCCCAGGGCUCAACCCUGGGACUGCUUUGGAAACUGUGGAGCUAGAGUGCUGGAGAGGG